ACACACACACGCACACACGCACGCACGCACGCACACACACACACACACACACACACACACACACACACACACACACACACCCACAGACACCCACAGAGGUUAGAGAGUUAACCUCGAGGUUAGGGAGGUAACCUGGAGGUUAGAGGGGUAACCUAGAGGUUAUAGAGGUAACCUAGAAGUUAGAGAGGGAGAUAGUUAACCUGGAGGUUACAGGGGUAAACUGGAGGUUAGAGAGGGAGAUAGUUAACCUGGAGGUUAGAGAGGUAACCUAGAGGUUAGAGAGGGAUAUAGUUAACCUGGAGGUUAGAGGGGUAACCUAGAGGUUAGAGGGGUAACCUGGAGGUUAGAGAGGAAGAUAGUUAACCUGGAGGUUAGAGAGGUAACCUGGAGGUUAGAGAGGUAACCUGGAGGUUAGAGGGGUAACCUAGAAGUUAGAGAGGUAACCUAGAGGUUAGAGAGUUAACCUAAAGGUUAGAGAGGUAACCUAGAGGUUAGAGAGGGAGACAGGUAACCUCAAGGUUAGAGAGGUAACCUAGAGGUUAGAGAGGGAGAUAUAUAACCUAGAGGUUAGGGAGAAACCUGCAGAUUAGAGAGGUAACCUAGAGGUUAGAGAGGUAACCUAGAGGUUGGAGAAGUAACCUAGAGGUUAGAGAGGGAGAUAGGUAACCUAGAGGUUAGAUAGGUAACCUAGAGGUUAGAUAGGUAACCUAGAGGUUAGAUAGGUAACAUAGAGGUUAGAUAGGUAACCUAGAGGUUAGAUAGGUAACCUAGAGGUUAGAUAGGUAACCUAGAGGUUAGAUAGGCAACCUAGAGGUUAGAUAGGCAACCUUGAGGUUAGAUAGGUAACCUUGAGGUUAGAGAGUUAACCUAGAGGUUAGAGAGGGAUAUAGGUAACCUAGAGGAUGGAUAGGUAACCUAGAGGUUAGAGAGGGAUAUAGGUAACCUUGAAGUUAGAUAGAUCAUCUAGAGGUUAGAUAGGUAAUCUAGAGGUUAGAGAGGUAACCUAGAGGUUAGAGAGGGAUAUAGGUAACCUAGAGGAUAGAUAGGUAACCUAGAGGUUAGAGAGUUAACCUAAAGGUUAGAGAGGUAACCUAGAGGUUAGAGAGGGAGACAGGUAACCUCAAGGUUAGAGAGGUAACCUAGAGGUUAGAGAGGGAGAUAUAUAACCUAGAGGUUAGGGAGAAACCUGCAGGUUAGAGAGGUAACCUAGAGGUUAGAGAGGUAACCUAGAGGUUGGAGAAGUAACCUAGAGGUUAGAGAGGGAGAUAGGUAACCUAGAGGUUAGAUAGGUAACCUAGAGGUUAGAGAGGGAUAUAGGUAACCUUGAAGUUAGAUAGAUAAUCUAGAGGUUAGAGAGGGAUAUAGGUAACCUAGAGGAUAGAUAGGUAACCUAGAGGUUAGAGAGGGAUAUAGGUAACCUAGAGGAUAGAUAGGUAACCUAGAGGUUAGAGAGGGAUAU